AAAGCGGCGAACGGGUGCGUAACACGUAAGCAACCUGCCCUAAAGACGGGGAUAGCUCGGGGAAACUCGAAUUAAUACCGGAUGUGGUGCUUUAACGCAUGUUAAAGCUACUAAAGCUUGAGAUGGCGCUUUAGGAGGGGCUUGCGGCCUAUCAGCUUGUUGGUGAGGUAACGGCUCACCAAGGCAAAGACGGGUAGCGGGUCUGAGAGGACGAUCCGCCACACUGGAACUGAGACACGGUCCAGACACC
rnacentral:rRNA from 1 species